GACGAACGCUGGCGGCGUGCCUAAUACAUGCAAGUAGAACGCACAGUUUAUACCGUAGCUUGCUACACCAUAGACUGUGAGUUGCGAACGGGUGAGUAACGCGUAGGUAACCUGCCUGGUAGCGGGGGAUAACUAUUGGAAACGAUAGCUAAUACCGCAUAAUAUUAAUUAUUGCAUGAUAAUUAAUUGAAAGGUGCAAUUGCACCACUACCAGAUGGACCUGCGUUGUAUUAGCUAGUAGGUGAGGUAACGGCUCACCUAGGCGACGAUACAUAGCCGACCUGAGAGGGUGAUCGGCCACACUGGGACUGAGACACGGCCCAGACUCCUACGGGAGGCAGCAGUAGGGAAUCUUCGGCAAUGGACGAAAGUCUGACCGAGCAACGCCGCGUGAGUGAAGAAGGGUUUCGGAUCGUAAAGAUCUGUUGUAAGAGAAGAACGGGUGUGAGAGUGGAAAGUUCACACUGUGACGGUAUCUUACCAGAAAGGGACGGCUAACUACGUG
rnacentral:rRNA from 1 species